AGUGAACGCUGGCGGUAGGCCUAACACAUGCAAGUCGAACGGCAGCACAGUAAGAGCUUGCUCUUACGGGUGGCGAGUGGCGGACGGGUGAGGAAUACAUCGGAAUCUACUUUUUCGUGGGGGAUAACGUAGGGAAACUUACGCUAAUACCGCAUACGACCUACGGGUGAAAGCAGGGGAUCUUCGGACCUUGCGCGAUUGAAUGAGCCGAUGUCGGAUUAGCUAGUUGGCAGGGUAAAGGCCCACCAAGGCGACGGUCCGUAGCUGGUCCGAGGGGAUGAUCAGCCACACUGGAACUGGGACACGGACCAACCCCGUACGGGAGGCAGGGGUGGGGAAUAUUGGAGAAUGGGCGGAAGCCUGAUCCAGCCAUACCGCGUAGGUGAAGAAGGCCUUCGGGUUGUAAAGCCCUUUUGUUGGGAAAGAAAAACGGCAGGUUAAUACCGCGCUGUUCGGACGGUACCCAAAGAAUAGGCACCGGCUAACUUCGU
rnacentral:rRNA from 1 species